UCACCAUUUCAAUUCACAACCAAAACCAACAUCUUAUUCCAUUAUCACCAUUAGAAAUUGUGAAGUUUUCUUACCUCAUUCCUCUAUUUUGGUCUUGAACCACCACCAUCGCAGCCGCCACUUUUCUCGGCCUUCAUUUACCACCACGACCACCUGCUGCCUCCAUCAUUCCCAGCCACCCGCACCCGCACCAAACCAAUCAACACCUCUUCCACCACCUCGCCUCACUGCUGGCUGCUUUAAUCGACCACCACCGCCACAAUCCCCACCCCUUUCCUUCGACCAAAUCGGCCCGCAGUGCCGCACUCCCCUGCCUCUAUCAUCCUUUGCCUCUGCCGCACCACCCAGCCACAAAGACACCACACUCCGGCCACCUAACCUCGUCUUAGAACCAUCUCCGCCCCAAACAACCCAGCGAACGGCCGCUGCGCCGACCAGACUUGACCGGAAACACCCCUCCCCUGUUUUCCCCUGUUUUACUCGACCACCCUCUUCCUCCUUCCUUUUUGUUCCGCCGCACCGCAAUCACCAUCACCGGCGCGCUUUAGCGCCGCCGUGCCGCCCAGCCAGCCGCCGCCUGUCUCCCUUCUUCUCCCCUCCUCCUUCGUGCCCCCUCCCCUGCUGCUCGUGUUCUACAAUUUCAGAAACAAAGUUUCUGAAAUUGAAACUUUGUUUUAUUCCUCCUUAUUCAAGUUGGGCCAAAUCAAUUGGGCUUUGGAAUCGGACUUGAAGCUCAGGACGAACGAUCCAUCAAAUAGGAAGUAUAAACUACGGUUGAGGUACGAAGAAGAUCGUGGGAUGCCUUAGAGUGAGGAUGCAACCAUCAAAUUCACGAUCGAUGUUUAAUAAAGAUAACUAUGUCUCACUAGUAAUAAUGGAUGUAUUAUUUAAACUCUAAGUAUUAAGUUAGAUUUUAAUAUUUAUCUUUAAUCAAUGUUAGGAAUAUUUAUUAAAGUUCGUUUAGAUUUCGGUGUAAAUAUUAAAGAAUUAAUCGAAGUGAAGUAUAAUUACAGUUACUCAACAGUAGUCAGUAAAUUUAAAAAGGGUAUGUCGCCUUGUAUUUCCCACGAGGGAGAUACGGCAGUGACGCUCCGACUAAAUUAGGGUUUCCGCUGCUAAUUAAAGGUAAUUAACCUAA